rnacentral:rRNA from 1 species
AACAGAGGGGGCGAGCAUUAUUUUUGUUGACUGGGCGUAAAGGAUGUGUAGGCGGAAAGUAUACAAAAAGCUUGAUCGGAAUGUCUACGUAUUGACGUAGUCCUAAUCUCGCAAAAGACUUUCUAUUGAGGUAUGUAUAAGUGAUUCGGAAAACAGUUUGUGGGCAUUCGCCUAUACAAUAUACUUGGUACCACCAACGGCGAAAGCAAAAUUCUAGACAUAACCUGACGCUGAAACAUGAAGCCGUGGGGCGCAAAAGGG